rnacentral:rRNA from 1 species
UACGGAGGGAGCUAGCGUUGUUCGGAAUUACUGGGCGUAAAGCGCACGUAGGCGGCUAUUCAAGUCAGAGGUGAAAGCCCAGGGCUUAACCUUGGAACUGCCUUUGAAACUAGAUAGCUAGAAUUCUGGAGAGGUCAGUGGAAUUCCGAGUGUAGAGGUGAAAUUCGUAGAUAUUCGGAAGAACACCAGUGGCGAAGGCGACUGACUGGACAGACAUUGACGCUGAGGUGCGAAAGCGUGGGGAGCAAACAGG